GGGAUAUUGGCGCCUAUUGGAAGCUAAGAAGGCUGGGUUCUGUUGUUACCAAAGGAUGGUGGCAGCAGCAGCAGCAGCAGCAGCAGCAGCAGCAGCAGCAGCAGCAGCAGCAAUAGCA
rnacentral:miRNA from 14 species